rnacentral:rRNA from 1 species
GACGAACGCUGGCGGCGUGCUUAACACAUGCAAGUCGAACGGAAAGGCCCUGCUUUUGUGUGGUUCUCGAUUGGCGAACGGGUGAGUAACACGUGAGUAACCUGCCCUUGACUUUGGGAUAACUUCAGGAAACUGGGGCUAUUACCGGAUAGGAGCUCCUGCUGCAUGGUGGUGGUUGGAAAGUUUCGGCGGUUGGGGAUGGACUCGCGGGUUAUCAGCUUGUUGGUGGGGUAGUGGCUUACCAAGGCUUUGACGGGUAGCCGGCCUGAGAGGGUGACCGGCCACAUUGGGACUGAGAGACGGCGCAGACUCCUACGGGAGGCAGCAGUGGGGAAUAUUGCACAAUGGGCGGAAGCCUGAUGCAGCAACGCCGCGUGCGGGAUGACGGCCUUCGGGUUGUAAACCGCUUUGGCCUGUGACGAAGCGUGAGUGACGGUAAUGGGUAAAGAAGCACCGGCUAACUACGUG